AGACAAGGGCAGAGGUCCAGGAAAGAUCAGGACAGAGGAACUGGAGCAGAAAAUCAACAAGGUGCAACUGCUCUAGCCUGGAGCAUCUUUCUCCCACAGGAAGAACAAAAGUCAAAGCCUGUGAUUCAAUUCUGUUCAGAAACCAUAACCCUAGGGCUCAGGCUCAGGGCCCAUGCUGUCCUGUUUAUUCCUGCUGGCACGUCCCAAGCCCCGGGUGAGGGAGCUCCACGGUCUGAAGUGUUAGUAGAGUCAGAUGUGCUCAGUGGAAACAGUCUGGCUGACUCACAACAGAUUCCCAGCUCCUUUGGCUCGCCUCCAGAAAUCACGUCUGGUCGGCUAGGAGUUCUGCAACAGAUCUGAUAGUCGCUGACUUGGAGAACUUGUUUCUUCCUGAAUGGAUGUGUGAAACUCAACAGUCCUUGAUUCCCCACCCGUGAAGACAAUUGGCAGUGAAUGGUCUUGCCCUUUCAUUAUAGAUGGUGACAGUGUGGGCCAGUUGUGGCAUUUGGGCCACAUAUCAAACGUAAGCAACUCCUGGAAGUCAGAUACAAUAUUGUUUUCUUUGCCCUCCUUACAAGCAAGUGCUCAGAGCCGUAAUUACUCCUGAUGGCAGGUGGCAGGUCUACAUCACACCUUGACAUUAGCUUUUAGCUAUUUUUUUUUUUAUAACCGCCAGUGUGCUCAGUCAAAUACCUGUCUGUCAUCCCAAUCAGACAGGUCUUAAUGUCUCUGCAUUACAGAGGAGGACCUCGGUUGCCUUCCAGCCCGUUUAUUAUGGUCCCACUGUAGCAUUUUAUCACACGUUCCUCACACACAGCCUCCUCUUCACCACCAUGGAAAUCUUCCAAGUUGGCAGCUUUAGUGUCUACUGCCAUUAAUCUUCACUAGGCUGGGACCACGGGGAAAGGAUGAUUUAUUGCAAUUACCUGUUAUAGUGCAGAGCUCAGGUGAGCUGGGCUCACACGCGUUUAGUGGGCUCUUUCCCAUUCUACCUCAGCCAAGGAGUAAAAAAAAAAAAAAAAAGUGUCUGCUGUUUCUAGGUAGAGCUGCCUUCAUUCAGCCCCUCGAAUGUUAGUUAAUUAAUGAGGAAGUGGAGAAAUAGAUGUAGAUAGUGCUAGGGUUAUGCGUUUACUUGGUGACGGCUGGCUGUUCAAAGGCAGAACUGACAUUGACGUGUGACAGUCCGUUUAAUUUCUUUGUUGUUUCGGCAUUUUGAGAAACAUCCAGAGGAAAUUCGAAACUGCACCCUUACCUGACACUUCCUGCGCCAUCUGUUCCAGGUGAUUAAAACCAAUCUGCAUAUAGCCUUGUGUUUCACUUCC